rnacentral:rRNA from 1 species
AUGGGUUCAUCUGCUGCGGACAUUGACCAUCUGCCAGAAGGUCCCUCUCAUGGAUGCAUCGGUGAAAUCGUCGUCGGCUACGCCGUCUCCCUCCACGCUGCCGGUUUGUGGCGGCGUGAGCUCUGUAACCAUGUUGAGGCUGCUCACAUCGGAGAGGGCCAGGCCGUCGCUAUCAACUGCGCUUCUCUGACGGCGAGGUGGCGGCGUGAGCUCUGUCACCAUGUUGAGGCUGCUCACGUCGGAGAAGUCCAGGCCGUCACCCUCCUGCAGCCGCAUCACGAACUGCAGGUUCCACACCACGUCCUCCAUGGCCGGCCGGUCGGCGCCGCGCUCCGCCAGGCACCUGGCCACCGUCUCGCCGUACUUCCUCAGCGCCGCCGGCCUCGCCGCGGCGGCGAUGCGCCGAUCCACGAUCUUCUCCAGCUCGCCCCUGCCCUGCCAGUGCAGCCCCCACUCCACCAGGUUCGACAUGGGCUUCGGCAGCCUCGGGUCGACGACGGGCCGCGCGCAGACGGCCUCCAGCAGCACGACGCCCAGCGAGUACACGUCGGACUUGGCCGUCAGCUGCCUCGUCCGGCAGUACUCCGGGUCGACGUACCCGAAGCUGCCCUUCACCGCCGUGCUGACGUGCGUCUCGUCCAGCACCGGCCCGGCCUUGGACAGCCCGAAGUCGGCCACCUUGCCCGUGAGGUCGCCGUCCAGCAGGAUGUUGGACGACUUGACGUCGCGGUGGAUCACCGGCUUGUCCACGGCCGUGUGCAGGUAAAGGAGGCCCCUCGCCGCGCCGGCGCACGCCUCCAGCCGCUGCGCCCAGCUCAGCGGCGCCGCGCCGCCGCGGCCGUACAGCCGGCUCCGCAGCGAGCCGUGCUCCAUGUACUCGUACAGCAGGAUCAUCUCCUCCCGCUCGUCGCAGUAGCCGACGAGCGACACAAGGUGGCGGUGGCGCAGCCCGGACAGCAGCUCGAUCUCCGUGCGGAACUCCCGCGCGCCCUGCCGCGACUCCGGGCUCGCGCGCUUCACGGCGACCUUAGUGCCGUCCUGGAGCACGGCGCCGUACACCUUGCCGAACCCUCCCUCUCCGAUGAUCAGGCUGUCGUCGAAGUUGCGCGUCGCGUCUUGCAACACGGCGAGCGGGAAACGGUAGCUCGGCAUCACCGCGGCGGCAGCCCUGGGGCUGGUUCCCGGAGUGUUACCGGCAGUAGUGAAGCUUGA